rnacentral:rRNA from 1 species
GACGAACGCUGGCGGCGUGCCUAAUACAUGCAAGUCGAACGAACUCUGGUAUUGAUUGGUGCUUGCAUCAUGAUUUACAUUUGAGUGAGUGGCGAACUGGUGAGUAACACGUGGGAAACCUGCCCAGAGGCGGGGGAUAACACCUGGAAACAGAUGCUAAUACCGCAUAACAACUUGGACCGCAUGGUCCGAGCUUGAAAGAUGGCUUCGGCUAUCACUUUUGGAUGGUCCCGCGGCGUAUUAGCUAGAUGGUGGGGUAACGGCUCACCAUGGCAAUGAUACGUAGCCGACCUGAGAGGGUAAUCGGCCACAUUGGGACUGAGACACGGCCCAAACUCCUACGGGAGGCAGCAGUAGGGAAUCUUCCACAAUGGACGAAAGUCUGAUGGAGCAACGCCGCGUGAGUGAAGAAGGGUUUCGGCUCGUAAAACUCUGUUGUUAAAGAAGAACAUAUCUGAGAGUAACUGUUCAGGUAUUGACGGUAUUUAACCAGAAAGCCACGGCUAACUACGUGCCGGCAGCCGCGGUAAUACGUAGGUGGCAAGCGUUGUCCGGAUUUAUUGGGCGUAAAGCGAGCGCAGGCGGUUUUUUAAGUCUGAUGUGAAAGCCUUCGGCUCAACCGAAGAAGUGCAUCGGAAACUGGGAAACUUGAGUGCAGAAGAGGACAGUGGAACUCCAUGUGUAGCGGUGAAAUGCGUAGAUAUAUGGAAGAACACCAGUGGCGAAGGCGGCUGUCUGGUCUGUAACUGACGCUGAGGCUCGAAAGUAUGGGUAGCAAACAGGAUUAGAUACCCUGGUAGUCCAUACCGUAAACGAUGAAUGCUAAGUGUUGGAGGGUUUCCGCCCUUCAGUGCUGCAGCUAACGCAUUAAGCAUUCCGCCUGGGGAGUACGGCCGCAAGGCUGAAACUCAAAGGAAUUGACGGGGGCCCGCACAAGCGGUGGAGCAUGUGGUUUAAUUCGAAGCUACGCGAAGAACCUUACCAGGUCUUGACAUACUAUGCAAAUCUAAGAGAUUAGACGUUCCCUUCGGGGACAUGGAUACAGGUGGUGCAUGGUUGUCGUCAGCUCGUGUCGUGAGAUGUUGGGUUAAGUCCCGCAACGAGCGCAACCCUUAUUAUCAGUUGCCAGCAUUAAGUUGGGCACUCUGGUGAGACUGCCGGUGACAAACCGGAGGAAGGUGGGGAUGACGUCAAAUCAUCAUGCCCCUUAUGACCUGGGCUACACACGUGCUACAAUGGAUGGUACAACGAGUUGCGAACUCGCGAGAGUAAGCUAAUCUCUUAAAGCCAUUCUCAGUUCGGAUUGUAGGCUGCAACUCGCCUACAUGAAGUCGGAAUCGCUAGUAAUCGCGGAUCAGCAUGCCGCGGUGAAUACGUUCCCGGGCCUUGUACACACCGCCCGUCACACCAUGAGAGUUUGUAACACCCAAAGUCGGUGGGGUAACCUUUUAGGAACCAGCCGCCUAAGGUGGGACAGAUGAUUAGGGUG